CCUACGGGAGGCAGCAGUGAGGAAUAUUGGUCAAUGGGCGAGAGCCUGAACCAGCCAAGUCGCGUGAGGGAAGACGGUCCUAUGGAUUGUAAACCUCUUUUGCCGGGGAGCAAAACGCGGUACGCGUACCGCAUCGAGAGUACCCGGAGAAAAAGCAUCGGCUAACUCCGUGCCAGCAGCCGCGGUAAUCCGGAGGAUGCGAGCGUUAUCCGGAUUUAUUGGGUUUAAAGGGUGCGCAGGCGGCGAGUUAAGUCAGCGGUAAAAUUUCGGGGCUCAACCCCGACAAGCCGUUGAAACUGGCGUGCUAGAGUGGGCGAGAAGUAUGCGGAAUGCGUGGUGUAGCGGUGAAAUGCAUAGAUAUCACGCAGAACUCCGAUUGCGAAGGCAGCAUACCGGCGCCCAACUGACGCUCAGGCACGAAAGCGUGGGUAUCGAACAGGAUUAGAUACCCGGGUAGUC
rnacentral:rRNA from 1 species